AUACUUACCUGCCAGGGGAGAUACCAUGAUCAGGAAGGUGGUUUUUCCCCAGGGCCAGGCUUAUCCAUUGCACUCUGAAUGUGCUGUCCCCUGCAAUUUCUCCAAAUGAGGGAAACUCAACUGCAUAAUUUGUGGUAGUUGGGGACUGCGUUCAGGCUCUCUCAGA
rnacentral:snRNA from 1 species